GGUGUUCUAUUUUCAAUUGUUGUGUUCUAUUUUCAGUUUCUUCCUCUGUGAUGGGAGUUGAGUCUAUUUUGAAUCUACCGUGAGUCAGAGGAUGGAGAGAAUCAUGUUCCUGUCUGACAGGGUCACAACUGAAAGAGUUUGCCUUGAGCCUCAGAUGAGACUUUGGAUUUAGGCAUUUGAGUGAAGUCGAAAUGAGUUCAGAUGUUGGGCACAUCGAUGAGGAAUGUAUAUAAAAUGUGUUUGGAGAAGAACAUGAACACUGGUAGUCAAGAUGGAACAAUGAAGUUUAUACUCAGCAGUGUUUCUCAAGCUUCCAAUGCUGGACACAUUUAAUACAAUUUUCAUUGUUGGGCUGACCCCUAACCAUAAUUGCUACUUCAUAACUGUAAAUUUGCCACUGUUAUGAAUCAUAAUAUAAAUCUCUGAUAUGUAGGAUAUCAGAUAUGGGAUGCCCCACCAAGGAGCUACAACCCACAGGUUGAGAACCACUAUUACUCAGUAACAUAAAUCCUUGCAAAAGAUUCAUCUACCGGAAGUGUGGGUCUCAGUCUAAGGAUGAAAGGUGGAAGAACCAUUAAGAGGUCUGACCUAAUAAAAGGGAGAUACCACCUCAGAAGUAACGGAUUCAUCCGGAGCACAGCAGCCAGGCAACGCUCUACAGAGAUUCCAAAGGCAGGAGGAUGGUCUCCAUGGGAACCAAGGGGGACUUUUCAGAAGAAAUGAGGGUUGACUGUUAUGUUACUUAAGGAAAAGGGGGUUAAGUCUUGGCAUCCCAGCCACAAAAUUCAUAUACAUAUAAGAUUCUCUUUUCCUCCAUACCUAUGCCCUGCCUCAAAGAAAGGAAGAAAGGAAAAAGAAAGAAAGAAAGAAAGAAAGAAAGAAAGGAAGAAAGGAAGGAAGGAAGAAAGAAAGAAGGAAGACAAAGAAAGAAAGGAAAUAAACCUGAAAAUUACAUCAAGGUAAAACAAAAGUAGAAAACUAGACAAAAACUACAAAAAAGACAUACCAUAAAAGUAAUGUGUGUGUGUAUGUGUGUGAAUCCAUUUUGCAUUUAUGAACAACUACUGUUCCAUUGGGACCACAUGAGAGGGUGGUUGAUAUACCUAUUGACCUUAUUGAGGGAAACUGAUUUUCCCUUUACCAGAAGAUAUCAAUCGCAAAUCACUUCUUGGUUGAGGGUGGGACAGUGGUUAAGCAAUGACGAGAUCUGCACCUGGAUAAUGUGCAGAGUGUGAGAGACUUAGGAGCACUCAGAAAAAGAAAUUUUGAGUUGCCAGUGAGAAGGUUUGAAUAUAAUGGAGUUACAAGGUAAAGAGAAAAGGGUUUCCAAAUACAGGGCUCAGCCUCUACUCUGGGUGCAAACAAGACAUUCAAACUGGUUCCUGCCCCAAAGAAAAGGGAAACUGUUCAAAUGAUAAACUCUCACUUGUAUCAUUUAUCUCCUUACGAAUUAAAAUCACUUCGCCAACGUCUCUAUUUUGCAAUUCAGGAGUGAAGACACAUGUAGGUUAUCCUCUGUGAAGCUUUCCUACAGUGUCAUCUUGAACAUCUUGCGGGUCACACUGGCUGUGUGUGGCCAUAGGAGCUAUUACAAUUCCUGUGCUGCACCAGGAAUAGCAUGAAAAUCCCACAAAAGCAACUUACUCUGAUUUUCUGCUGAACUAAGCGCAUCACCUCCUGAGUCUGUAAACACCUCUGAGUCAUUUCUGAUUAAUCUUUGAGGGUCAUUUGCUCAGCACAGGGAAAAUGAUGCAUGAAGUUAUUGAAUGCUUAGUGUUACAGAUGCUGUUCCCAUGGAGAUCAUUCCCAGCAACGGCACAGUCUCACCCAAGAAACGGACUCUGACUUGAGUCCUUAUCUUACUUUUGUUCAUGAGAAGAAUUUGAAUGGCAUGUGCCAACAGAUGUGGUUUGAAGCAGCCAGAAGACACACCAAACAAAUUCAACUUCUUCCAGGUCUACGACGAGCACUGGCCUUUUGCCUCAGGACUCUUGUGCUUUCCCCUCUGCCUGUGAGUGCCUCCUUUCCCUCAGACUGUCCAUCUUGACCUUGUUCAUUUACACUCAUUCUCCAGGCUUCAGAGAGUCACUCUACCCAUCUCCUAAAAACGACUUUGUGCCCUUUCUGUGGUAUUUAGGAGAUUUAAAUACUGUACAAACUCAUCACUCUCCCCAAUUCUUUGUUCAUGCUAUCCCUCCCCCUAGUAUCAUGUAGACUCAGAGGGAAGUUGGCCUGCCUUGCACACUCUGUAGUUCAGCACCCAGCACCAUAUGUACCACGUAACAGGCACUCAAAACAUGUUUAUUAAAUGAGUUCAUAAAGAGGACGAUGGAGUGUGUGCUCUGAGGGACUCAAGUCCAUGAGACUUCACAGGAAGAAUAUCAGACUGUGUCAGAAUGCUUUGCAAACAUGCCUCGCUUCCCUUUCAACUUGUAGAGCGAGCUCUGGGAAACUUUUUUUAUGCUAGCUUAAAAGUCUUAAAGUCUAUUUUCUCAAAGGCUUGCGGGAUUAAAAUCAAGCAUCUAGUGUCCUGAGAGAUCUCAGUAUUAAGUGACUUAUUUCUCCCUGUAGGAGAAAUUGCUGAUGGGGCUGUGAGAUAACCAGAACUUCAAGACUCAGCUAGGAUUUUGCACAUCCUUUGUUGGGGCAUUCUUCCAAUCUGCUUGCCACAAUGGAUACUGUUUAAGAGGAACUUAUCCUAGAGAAACUGAUAUAGAAGACUAUCAAGUCUAAGCAGAGACCCCCAUGCUUGCUUUUCCCUCUGCAAGGGGUUUGUGGUUCUGCAUAGAUGUACAAACUCCUAUGCAAAAAAAGACCUCUUUCAAGAAGGCUCCACCUAUGGUGAUCAAAGAAAUAAAGGCAAUUUAUGUUUCCAUUUUCAAGUCUUCUAAGUAACACAUAUGAAGUGUCGCAGGCUGGAAGGAAGCCAUGACCUCUCUCACCUCUUAAGUGUCUUCGGUGCCUCAAGAAACUCUUAGGGUUACUACAUUACUCCUAGAAUUUCUUCAGAAAGUGAAUGUUAUGUACACACAGAUGUUCUCACUUCUAGUACAAGCCUGGGUCUCUUUUCACACAGCUUGCCAAUAUGCUGGAUCUUUUCCACCAAAAUAACCCACACUGAAUAAAGCAAAAUUGUAGAUCCAGAGGCAGGACACUUCUGUCAGCACCCUGCACAGAAAAGUGUCCUUACCUAGUUCUGGAGUUGCGCUGUAAUACACAAAGGAACUGGAUAUUGGGUCUUCAGCAACCCACUCAUGUGUUGCGGAUGGAUGGAACCUGGGGCUCCAUACCACUAAAAUGAACUCUUGCAAGUAGGUCCAUACUAUUGGGGGAAAAAUCCUGCUGGAAGAUAAUGCAUCUGUACCCGUGAAACUGAGACUAUAUGCUGAUGAGAACUUGAGCUGCUCUGUCGGAACAUGGUCCAACAAUGGCGUUGUGGUAGGACAAUUCCGAGUGCUUGUGAGAAAACUCCAAGAAACCAAGACAAAAGUCUUGCCACCUGUUACUUCCAAAACAUGGAAUUGUUCUUGGAUUAUGCUUUCAUGGCCCUCUAAGCCCCAUCUACAGAGAUUUACCACCUGUGAUCAUCACAUAGAAAGAGAAUCCUUAAGACUCUUUGCUACUCAUGAUCUUGAGAAACAGGAAGAUUCUACUAAAAAUACCCUGAGGUGCUGGAGCACAAGCCUGGGAAACAUAAGAAAGUUUGGGUAUCAGCAAGGAGACACCAGUGUGUAAAGGCAUCACCACAUGAAUGGAGCUACAAGAGAUGGCAAAUUCCAGUACGUUUCAGGAAGGAGCUGAGUCAAUGUUUCAUGUGCAGUUACACAUACAGGCUGACUUUUCACAUCCAGAAAUGAUCUAAAUAUGCUUCGUGGGAUUCAAAAUCAGCAUCAGCUCCUCUUAGCAAAAAUCGCUUUCAUCUCUCCAAGAGCUGCUUCUGUGGAAUGUGUGGUCAUUCUUUGCUAGAAGGCAUUUGGGGAAGCCACAUCAGCCUAAAUUCUCAUGAGAAUUCCUCUUGCCUGUCAGAUACUUUAUCUUCAAAGAAUGGCACUUGACUGUUACGGGAUCCCUCCAUCCUCCAUGACAAAAUGAGAAAGUAUACAUUGGUGUUUCAACUGCUUCAGUUAUUGAGUAGCAACCAUAUGUGUCACAGAAGCCAGAGCAAAUGAAGUUCAAUGUUAAAAGAAAACUUGUUGCAAAUUGGGAGUUCUGAGUUAGAACUUGAAAAACGUGUUGCUAUCAGAAAGAGAUGCCUUCUUAUGCACUAUAUACCAUGGUAAAUAUGUUCUCUCAUCAUAAGUAUCAUUGUUGCUUGAGUUUAAUUUCCUCAUGUGUCAGGAUCCCAGUUAGCCACCUUGGUGCUUUACCCAAGAAUCAAUGCUCACUUUUAUUGUUGUGCCUCCUGUUUAUACUAGAUUUAUCAUUUCAUCUGUAUUCAUAUUUUCUAUCCCAAUUCAGGCUGGAGUCCUUUCUGGAUUUAUCUAUAACGGAAAUACUCAUUAGUCUCUCUGCUUCCAUUCUUAGUGGUCUUCUUGACCAAUUCUUUGUAAUGCAAACCAACACAAAUUCUCCAUUUCUUUUUUUUUAAUUUUUUUUUAUUUUUUAUUUUUUUAUUAACUUGAGUAUUUCUUAUAUACAUUUUGAGUGUUAUUCCCUUUCCCGGUUUCUGGGCAAACAUCCCCCUCCCCCCUCCCCUUCCUUAUGGGUGUUCCCCUCCCAACCCUCCCCCCAUUGCCGCCCUCCCCCCACCAGUCUAGUUCACUGGGGGUUCAGUCUUAGCAGGACCCAGGGCUUCCCCUUCCACUGGUGCUCUUACUAGGAUAUUCAUUGCUACCUAUGAGGUCAGAGUCCAGAGUCAGUCCAUGUAUAGUCUUUGGGUAGUGGCUUAGUCCCUGGAAGCUCUGUUGAAUAGCUUCACACUGACCCAAACACAAGGGCUUUUUCCUGGUUCAGCUCAUUCUUUUCUUCUUAUCCUCUAACUCACAGGCUCACCAACCUCCUCUUAUUUCCUACUGACUCCAGAGCCUGUGUCAACCUGUUUCUCCCUGACUGGGACACGGGUACAAAUUUCCAGUCUCUAGAUGAUUUGAGUUCUCACUCAUUCUCCAUAUCAUAAUGCAAAGGUUACUUCUUACAAGAGGCUUUUUUUGGUAUGUAAGAAAGUAUGAGGGGUCACAUUUGCGUGUUGUUUUGGAUGUGGAUUUGUUGUGAUCUGUCUUUGUUUUAUUCUAUUUUGCCUGUAACAUGUAAGUGUUAACUAAACAAUGAAUGUAUAAGUGACUUAAGAGAAAAAAAGAAUGGAUUCAACUAUUGCUCCACCCUCAGAGUAUGGAGAGCAGGACGUAAUUACUAUAGGCUAAUCCUUUAGCAAAGUAUUGAAAUGAAGCAAGAUGUUUUUCAAAACUAUCAGUAGAAGAUAGUCACUUCAUGGGCACUUGCAUUCAGUAUGCCAGGUUCUUUCAUCAUGAAACUCCUGACAGAAUGACUCAAUGGAAGAAGGAUUUAUUUAAGCUCAAGGUUUUAUGGGAUUCAGUCCUUCAUACCAGGCAAGGCAUAGUGAAGUUCAGGAGGCACUGAAAUAAAACUCUUGUUCCAUUCUCCCUUUUACUCCAUAGCAGCCCCCUGACAUAUCGGGGGAGCCCAGCUAGCAGUUAGAUUGGGUAUUUCCCCAUUAUUUGCCAUUCUAUAUAUUGAUACUCUCUGAAAAAAGUCCACAAAGACACAUGCAGAGGAGUGUAUUACAUCUCUCUCAAUCUGGUCAAGUUGACAAUUAGAUUACACGCCAUGAUGAUCUUCAAGGGUUUUCACCAAAGUUCUGCACUUCUGCAACACUGAGGGUCUCAAUUUCUGUCUCUCUGUAGGACAGGAAGUUGGCUGUGUCAGCUGACUCUGAGCCAUCUGUUCACCAUGAAGCUGGAGCCCCAGACUCUGGACAAAGCCUUUCUAUUUUCAGUACAGUUUAAGGUGUUUCAUGGAUCUAAAUUGUCUACAACCCUUACUGCCAUUCAUCUUUCUUGUUAAUCAAGGACAUAUGUCUAUUGACUUUAAUGGGGUCUUGAGUGCUUCAUGAACUACUGAGAUGAGAAAAGAUCAGUGCUUGGAUAGUGAAAGAAAAAUGGGAACAAGGGGACUGUGAAAAGUUAAUUGAAAUAAAGCAUGUGCUGGAGGACACAGGGUCACACACAUGGGAAGAGCAGUAAAUAGAGAGGUUUUGUUCUGGGUGUUUUUUAUAGUUAAGCUUACAAGCUGUAAUCAUCAGGGCAAUCACAAACUCCCUCCAGAAUGUAUUCCUUCUAGGAAAAACAACCUUGUGUCAGUACUGACAUGGAACAAUCAGCUGGGUAGUCUCCUGGAUGAAUUAUUUUUAAUGCACCUCACCAGGAAGACCUUCCUUUAGAAAUGAAACUGCUAUGGAAAGCAAGGAGGAUACAGGUUAGAAGACAACCCAUGUCUGUCUAGCAAGUGAUCCAAAACUUCGGACAGGUGCCUUAUCUUUUAAAUAGUUAAUGUCAAUCUCUGCCUACUACAUCUGCAAAAUCAAUACCUGAUGUUUGCACUAUUGUUCAAGGACUUAAAAGAGAUUCUCAUAUAUAAUUUCUUGAGCAAACUCUGAUAUGAUAUUGCUGUUCUAUCUCCAAUUUAAUGUCAUUGAUACAGAGGGGUAGGAUAAAGGACUUAGUAAAAAUCAAGCUGCUUUCAUGUUAAAUGUCUGUGAACAAAAUUCAGUCAUCUCUAUGUAUCUAUCAAUGUAUCUACCUAUAUAUCUAUCUAUGUAUCUAUGUAUCUAUGUAUCUAUGUAUCUAUCUAUCUAUCUAUCUAUCUAUCUAUCUAUCUAUCUAUCUAUCUAUCUAUCCAUCCAUCCAUCCAUCAUCUAUUUUUUAUGCUGUAUGCCCAUACACAACUUUUCCACUAUCAUGAACAUUGAGAAUAUCAAAUGUAUUCAAAAGCCUAAUAGUUAUUUUUCCUCUCACCAAUUAUUUUCUUAGCCUGAAGGGAUUGAGGUUGAUUCUUACACAUGAAUAAGGAUACAGGGUUGAAUAGCUAUCAAGAUUCAUAUCUAUAGAAGGGUGGUGAGCAGCUUUCCCCCAUGAGACUUAAGGGAAACUUCCUUCAGUCCUCCAACAUAUAUACCAUUAGGAUGACAGUGAUCACUUACUCAUCCAUCUUUCUAGCAUUUUCACCCUUCCGCGAUCUCUGCAAACCCAUCUCUACCCUGCCAAAUUCAGAGUGACAGUUCUAAAAUACAAAUUUGGAAGUCACCAUUUAUCUUCUGAAAGCACUGCUAAUUUCUCAUUAUCUAUAGGAUCAAGCACAAAUUCCUUAGCAGAAUAAUUUUAUGUCCCUAUUUCUCCCGUUCCCUGUAUUAUCCUUGCAUUUACUGAACAGGGACACCCAGGCCAUUGUUUUCUGAUGAUGGAGAAACUAGGUCCUAUCCUCUGAGCCUUGAGUAUUAAUGGGGGUUUAGGACACUGUGAAGAUCAGAUUCUGGCCAUUAAGCGUCUCUACCCUUCUCUCCAAUAUCCCUCCCUUCUAGUGCUUAUUCUCAUUAUUCCCAUUCUCCAGAGCGCUACUGUAUCUCUCUACAGCCACAUGGGAAGUGCCAGCCAGAAAAUCAUGAUUUUUUUGCCUAGUGAAUCUUCUUUUGAGGCGAAUUCAAGUGGUUAAUUGCUCAACUCUGAGAAGCCUUUUACAAUUCCUAAGAUGUUGCUGUAUUCUGCUUUUUUUUCCUCCUUACAGUCUCCAUCAGCUUAUGUUAAAAAUGUCAUGAAGACCACCUUGAUAUGAGGAUUUAAACUCUCUCUCUUCAUAGCAAGGCACUAGUUGUAAAUAAUUUAGCUCCAUAUUAACAGUAAGCCUUGGUUCUUACAUGGUAAACCAGAUAUUUUUCUUGCUAUACUGACUCUGAAUUGCUCCUCUUUCAGAUUUUCUCUUCUGCCUUCUCCUGUGGAUAUGACACUCAGAGUUGGGUUCUUGUACAAUCUGUUGUCAUGUGUCCUUUCUCAGUUUUUUGAGGCAAUCUUUCCAUGGAAGGAUUGAUUCACUCCGUGAAGUGUUCUCUGGCUUCUAGCCUACUGCCAGGCUCGUAUUUAUUACUCAAAGAACAGCUGAGGGAUGAUGACAAGGACUUGAUUUUAAAAGUUGUUCUGACAACAAUAUCAAUCAACCAGACCCCCCCCUCCCCAGAGCUCCCAGGGACUAAACCACCAACCAAAGGGUACACACGGAGUAACCCAUGGUUCCAGCUACAUAUGUAGCAGAGGACAGCCUUGUCUGGCAUCAAUGGGAGGAGAGGCCCCUUGGUCCUGGGAAGGCUCCAUAACCCAGUGUAGGAGAAUGCCAGGGCCAGGGGUCAAGAGGAAGUGGGUGGGUGGAUGGGGGAGUACUCUCAUAGAAGCAGGGGAGAGAGGAAAGGGAUAGAGGGUUUAUGGAGGGGAAACCAGGAAACAACGUUUGAAGUGUAAAUAAAGAAAAUAUCCAAUAGAAGAAAAGAAAGAAAGUUGUUCUAAAAUACAAUUACUACUCUCUGUUAGAAAAUACCAGUUACUAAUAUCAUUGCCCUAAUAUCUUUCUCAGUACAAUGAAUAUUUUGUAGAGCAGGAAUCACAAUUUGUGUAAUUCUUUAAAAACAUACUAUAGCAUAUGUCUUUUCUGUAGUCUGAUUAUGUGUGUGUGUGUGUGUGUGUGUGUGUGUGUGUGUGUGUGUAUAGUAAUGGUGUACAUGCAUUUAUUGAAUGUAUCUUUCAUGUGAAAUAAUAAAGUACAUACUUCACUUUUGUUCCUUCUUAUUGAGUGUGUAAAAUAAUUAUAUUCACUCUGUAAAUGUUAAGCAUAAGUGACAGAAGUUUGGUUUUACACGGCCCCACAUCUGUCAAGGAUCAGUGAAAUACCAAAGAGAUUCCAGCAGAAGGCCCCUUGUACUCUGUGUUGUUCUAAAGGACAAGUAGACUUACACAUGAACAAUCAUUUUUCUGAAAAGAUUCAGCACAUUUCAUCUCCCUGAACAAAACAAAACAGAGAGGAUAGGGAAAUGGCCCAGUGGUUACGAUUACUUUCUCCCCUUACAGGGGACCUGGAUUCAGUUUUCAGCAUCCAUCUUGGGGCUCAUAACUUUCAGGAACUUGAGUUCCACAGGACCUAAUGCCCUUGGGUGGUACCUGCAGACCCUAGAACAUAUGUGAUUCACAUAUACAAUCAAGCAAACCCAAAUAAAAUAAAUAAUUAUAAACCAUAGAAAUGGUGGCUCUGUGCCACUCUCCUGAGUAUAUUGUAGACUGGGUUUCCUAUUCUACAGUGAAUCAAUGAUCCUGGUGGACAGGGGAGAGGUCACACUGACUAGGUCUGGAUAGGAUUGGGGAAUGUCCCAGGCAAAGCAGGAUGAACUAGUCAGCCUAAAUUCAGCAAUAAUAUAAUAGUACCCAAAUGUUAAAAUUAAGUCAUUUGGUCAUGUUCUGAUACCAAAUAGCAAGUCAACAUGCAUGGAUGUGUGUAUGGUUGGUGUUUGUUUGUGUGUGUGUGUGUGUGUGUGUGUGUGUGUGUAGACUAGCAAGUUUAGGAGGAAAUGGAAUGUAUUUUCUUACAUAGCUCUUUGAAAUUUAAAACAGAUGCUGGGACACAACAAAAUUGGGACUAAAUCUUUUUUAAGAUGCAUCUUAUAGUCUUAAUCCUUGUUAUGAUAGGAAAGCCAUGAGUACCAAUGUGAGAACAUUCCCUAACCCACUUCACAAAUCCACACAGCGUCAUACUCCCCAAACUAUUCCCAUUCUCCACAAUCUCACCAGUUUUCAGGACCUGCCUGAGCCAUAGAUACUCAUAUAUUCACAUGACCAUUAGCCAGAAUCAUUCAUAUACAUAUCCAAAUUUAUUUAGAUUCACUGAUUAGUCGCACACUACUUAAUAUUUAUUCACAAAUGUCCUUUUACAGUUCCACAUCAAUCUACACAUGUACUUUAAAUAGAUAUAACAUGCAUUCCUACAUGAUACUCAGUAUUCAGGUUCAACACAAUGCAAAAUGUAUCACCAAGAGACAUUUGUUGAUUUUUAUAUAGUAUGAACUAUAUUGCCUUCUUUUAUUCCUACUUCCAGAAUUAUUCCAUAGGUUCGAACAUGUCUUCCAAAAUUCAUAUAUUAAGUUACAUUCAGAGAGAUACAAAGUUUACACCAUAUCACAUUUGCAUGUUCACAUGUAUAUAUUCCAUAAAUCUUUCUUUUGAAUAUCUGUACACACAUACAUAAAUACAACAUGAUAUAUAUAUAUAUAUAUAUAUAUAUAUAUAUAUACACACAGAAUACUGUCUUGUCUUCGAAAGUUGCUUCAAAAAUCUCUGUGUGACAAGGCUGAAUAUACAGACAAAAUUUAAGAGAAAAAAUAAGUAAAAUCGGCAGGAACACAUGUAGAAGUAUGCAUAUAUUUUGAAGCAUUUUUUAUUAUAUCCAUAUAUGUUAGUAUAUUUGGGUUUUUUAUCUCUGUUCCCCUAGCAUCAUGCAUAUUCACACAAUCCACAAAACUCUGUGUCAAAGAUCUUUCCCAUUCUUUACAUUACUUCAAAUACUGAAGCAAGUCAGUGAGUCUAUUCUUCUUUGUUCAAGGAGAAUAGUGAAUGUACACAGAGGCCACUGACAUGUGAUGCUUUGAAAGCCACCACUGCCAGUGAGGUCCCAGAAUUAGAAGGUUCAGGAGGAAACUGACCAUGGAGGAAUGUUUUUCUACUUAGCCAAAAAGAUCCGGCUCCUUUGAACAUUGACUUUCUGCUGAGAUGUCCUAAUGCAUUCCACAUUUGACCAUUAAAUCCUAAUUGGAGGCCUGCUGGGAAGGUAUGGGGGCCCAGCCUGCCAGAAUUUCCUGGGUCACAUCCUUGCAAGACCUAGCCUGGCCCCCUGCCCCUGUGUGACCUGCCCCUUUGAACUCUUAAUCCUUCUACUGCUCACAAAGAAUUAGGAGCUCAAUUUACUCCUGAAACCACAAGAAUGUGUCCUUUGGUCUUCCCCUUCUCAUCUGCCACCUCCACCCCCUGCCCCCCAUCCUCACACACAUACACACUUUGUUAUUCUUGCCUCCACACACCACCCUUAGUGAAGAGGCAGAAUUACUUGUAUAGGCUUAAUUGAAAGGCUCCAAAAACCCUGAGACUUUUAUGAUGAAACAAUUGUCCUUGGUAAAUGUCAAACUCCGUAUUUGAUGAUGUUCGUGACCUUUUUUUCCCAUGACUCUGCUUUUUUCUUGAGAAAUUAUGACCUGGCUCUAUCAGCCUGACCUGGUCAUGUUCACAUACAGCAAGUGUUAUGUGUCUGAGAGGAGGCUCACCCUCUUUAACACUGAUAACUAUCACCAGGUUCAUGGCAUAUUCAAGCAGAUACUAAGGGAAAAGAAGUAAGAAUCAGAGAGCCUUGACAUAAUCGCUUUGGAAGGUCAGAUAAUCCUGGAAUGAAUGAUAACCUUACCCCUGGCCCCACUAGCUGCGUUUCCUCUUACUAGCCAUUGUGGACCCAGGUAUUGUGACAAUAGUGGUCAGACCCCUGGCCUCUAAAACUGUUGCUUCAAGAUUCAAAUAAAGGAAUUCGGGUGAAAGUUCUUUGAACAAUUGAAACAUUAAUCCAACAUCAUUAGCAUAGAAAGGAUAAAAAGACCCUUCUUCCAUCAAUAGGAACUUCAAAGUGAACUAAGAUUUAGGGAUAAUGAUUGCACAGAAAUCUAUUGAGAACGACUUAUCAUGGCCAAUGGCUGCAAAACACAGGAAGAUAAAUUUCAACUACCCAGGAAAUAACUUCCCAAGGGUCAGAGAGUAACUACUAAAUGGAGCCCCUUGAAGUUCUUUGUUCUAUGGCCUCCUGAGAAUGUCAGUCUGUCUUCCACUGAUUGGCUGACAUAAAACUCAGUCCUAAUACCUCACAGAUGAACUCUCCUGGACCAAAUUUGUGAAUUUCUCAGUCUAGGCAGAUAGUGAAUUAGAGCACAGGCUAGCCCUGGACCUAGAAGACACUAUGCUGACUGAUGAGUAUGGCUUGUCUUAAAGAAAAUUCAACAACAACAACAAUGCAUCGAUGGUCAAUAGGUUAGCUAAAUUUAUGAAAGUGUCAUAACGAAAGCUUUCAUUUGGUACACUACCAAAAGAGUUGAAUGUUGGUUUAGAUUUCUAACUCCAGAGUUUGACAAACCUUUUACGACAUUACUAACUUGAAUAAAUCUUGCAAGUCUCCAUUUUGUUUGUUUUGUUUGAUUUUUUUUUUAAUUUUAAAAUGGGAAUACUGAUAAGGCCUACCUUGUAGAUUUUUACCUGUUGGAUUUCAACAGUGUAAUCCACCCAAUGUCUAUGGCCUUUCUAUGGAGAGGAAGUUUUUAUGAAUGUCAGCUUUAGGCAUUAUUAUGUUGAUAGUGUACACGCUAGUGUCAAUGAUGAUCUGUAAAAGUGAAUCUUCCUUGAUUCAAAAAGCUCUCAGCAGCUAAUAUACAAACAGAAUUCAAUUCAUGCCUAUAUCCAGGGAAGUGCUGCCUAUCUCCAAGACAGGAUUUGAUUUGCUUAGUCGUCUUUCAUUUUGUUUUACUGAGUCCAGACCUUGCUGAUCUAAUUUACAUUCUACAAAAGACUGGAUUCUGAUCCUCUACACUCAUUUUACUAGAAAACAUUCUGAUUCAUUUGUGUAGAAGCAAAAAACCAUUUCCAUCUUCAGAAACUGAUUUAUUUUGUUUGUUUGAGACAAGGUUUCUCUAUGCAGCCCAGGCUAUCCUGAAACUCACUCUAUAGACCAGGCUAGUCUAGAACUCAAGAGAUCCACCUGCUUCUGCCUUCCAGUGCUGGGAUUAAAGGCGUGCACCAACAUCACCUGGCUUGAUGGAAUUCCUUAAGGAGGAUUAUUAUUGUUUACACAGUCACUGUUUCCAUAACGUGUAAGGAUUUCUCCUGUUCCAAUAUUGUAUCUCUAGCAUUUGAGAUAGUGAGCCUCCCUGUCCACCAUACAUUUUCAGGCAGAGAGCCACAUUUUUUCUUAAUUUCUUGUACUUUUUCACAUCAUUUUUGGUUCUACAUAUACUUUCUUUUUCUCAUUGUCUCUAUUUUAAGGCAUCACUCCUCAUCACCGCAUCUUUUAAAAAGUCUAUGUUUUAAAAAUCAGGUUAGUUAGCCAGUUGGGGAUCUACAAUCUUAUCUCUUAAAGGAUAAAAUGCAAUUAAAAUUGCAAGUUCAAGGCAACCAUGGGUUAUCGCACAAAAAGAUUCUAUCUAAAAAGCAAAUAAUCAAAUAGGCAAAAUAUCAAAUAAGUUAAAUAUAACAAUAAUAGUUGAAAGAUAGUAACAUAAUUAUUACAGUUAACAGUUUCUUUUCCCACCCAGGUUCACCAAAUUCUACAUAUCUGUUUUCCUAGAGUCAAAACCCUGUCCCCAGCAGGCCCCAAAUUACCCAUGAUAUGAGGAAUGGCUGAUGAGAACUGGAAUAAAACACAUCCCCAUCUAUUGAAGGUACGUCCAGGUGAAUGUCCACUCAUCGUCAGGGAGCCAGGUUCCUGUAGCAUCUAAAAAAGGGAGACAACGAGUAUUUGCUUUGGGAAACAGGACUGAUUUUCUCUUCUGCAGCAUAUCAGCUUCCUGAACUUACUGACCUGUAACCAUCUACACAUUUGUCCUUCCAUUCCCUCUAACACCUUUGUCAGCAGUUCCCUGUGACAAACUGUUUCUCUUAAAGUACCUAGAAAGCAAUUGUUUUCCUAAGACAGAACUGCCUUCAUAGAAUUCUAAGAAGAUGGAAUCAUUUUCAGUCAUAUCCUGGAAGUAAAUCUCUGGAAGGUGUCUGUCUGUCUUUGUCUCUGUCUCUCUGUCUCUGUGUCUCUGUCUCUCUGUGUCUCUGUCUCUGUCUCUCUCUGUCUCUCUCUGUCUCUCUCUGUCUCUCUCUCUCUCUCUCUCUCUCUCUCUCUCUCUCUCUCUCUCUCUCUCUC